rnacentral:tRNA from 1 species
UAAUAAUGGCUCAGUGGUUAGACCGUAGGUCUUGUAACCGGAAUGUUGCGGGAUCAAAUCCCGCUAGAG